rnacentral:misc_RNA from 1 species
GUGAGUUAGGUAAAGCUGUUCCUCUGUCCUAAAAAAAAAUCGAUUCUUUAACCCAAAUUACCAAAUUCAGAUCGAUUUUCUCAGCUCAGAAACUUCGAAAAUCCAUUUCUAUAGACACCCUUUUCCUUUUUACUGAAUCUUGGCCAUGUCUUGUUCAAUAUUUUUGCUCAUUUUUGCUCUAUUAGUGUCAAUCUUGGAACAAUCGGUUUCGGUUUCGGUUUCGAACGGAUCGCAGCGGGUGAUUCUUCGGGCGAUU